rnacentral:sRNA from 1 species
UCGAGUUUUCUCUUUUUUUU